rnacentral:siRNA from 1 species
UGCAUGCAUUCAUCUUCAGGAU